rnacentral:rRNA from 1 species
AAUUUAAGAUUUAUAUAUAUAUAUUUUUUUAAAAAAAGUAUUUUUGGUAUUAGUAUUUUUUUAGAAUAUAGUAUUAUUGUUAUAGUUUAUUGUAUAGUGAUAGGAUAUUGAAAUAUUAUGAAAUUUAUUUUGUGAAAAAGAAGGAUUUAUUUUUUGUACCUUGUGUAUCAGGGUUUAUUAAAAUUAAUUAAUUAUUUAGUGUUCUCGAAUUAAUAAGAGUUAAUAUUAUAUAGAUUUAAUUGUGGCAUAAAUUUUUAUAAUAUAAUGUUAGGAAUGAAAUGUUAUUCGUUUUUUAAGAUAUCUAGUUUUUUAAGAAAUAGAUUUAAUUUAGUUUGUAUGAUCUAUAAGGUUAAUUAUUUAACUUUAUAAUUUUAUAAGGUAAUAUUUUAAGGGAUAAGCUUUAGAAUAUAAUAUUAAAAUUAAGAUUUGAUUUAUGAAUAAAGGUAGGAUUGGAAUUUUUUAUCUAUAGUAUGUUAUAAUUAAUUUUCAUAUUAAUAAGAUUUAUAUAUUAAUUUAAAUUGUUUAUUAAGAUUAUGUAUUUAAUUAUGAAUUACAUGUAAUAAUGAUAGAAUUAGUAUAAUUUAAUGUUUUUAAAUUUUAAAAUUUCAAGGUUAAAUUAAGGAACUCGGCAAAUGGAUUUUCCGCCUGUUUAUUAAAAACAUGUCUUUUUGAGUAUAAUUUAAAGUCUAGCCUGCCCAAUGAGGAGUUGAAUGGCCGCGGUAUUUUGACCGUGCAAAGGUAGCAUAAUCAUUAGUUUUUUAAUUGAAAGCUGGAAUGAACGGUUGGACGAGAGAAUAGCUGUCUCAAUUUAAUUUUAAUUAGAAUUUUAUUUUUAAGUAAAAAAGCUUAAAUAAUUUUAGAAGACGAGAAGACCCUAUAGAGUUUUAUAUUUUCUUAUUUGUGAAUAAUUAAGUAUAUUUUAAGUUUACAAAUUAGUAAGUAUUUUGUUGGGGUGACAGAAAAAUUGAAUUAACUUUUUUUAUUUAUUUAACAUUAAUAUAUGAAUUUUUGAUCCGUAGUUUACGAUUAUAAGAUUAAAUUACCUUAGGGAUAACAGCGUAAUUUUUUUUGAGAGUUCAUAUCGAAAAAAGAGUUUGCGACCUCGAUGUUGGAUUAAAAUUAACUUUUGGUGUAGGGGCUAAAAGGUUAGGUCUGUUCGACCUUUAAAAUUUUACAUGAUCUGAGUUUAAACCGGCGUGAGCCAGGUUGGUUUCUAUCUUUAAAAAAAUUAAAAUACCUUAGUACGAAAGGACCAGAUAUUUGUAAUAUUUAUUAAGAUAUGAUUAUUAUU